GAUGAAGAACGCAGUGAAAUGCGAUACGUAAUGUGAAUUGCAAAUUCAGUGAAUCAUCGAGUCUUUGAACGCACAUUGCGCCCCCUGGUAUUCCGGGGGGCAUGCCUGUCCGAGCGUCAUUGCUGCCCUCAAGCACGGCUUGUGUGUUGGGCCCCGUCCUCCGAUCCCGGGGGACGGGCCCGAAAGGCAGCGGCGGCACCGCGUCCGAUCCUCGAGCGUAUGGGGCUUUGUCACCCGCUCUGUAGGCCCGGCCGGCGCUUGCCGAUCAACCCAAAUUUUUAUCCAGGUUGACCUCGGAUCAGGUAGGGAUACCCGCUGAACUUAAGCAUAUCAAUAAGCGGAGGA
rnacentral:misc_RNA from 1 species